CCCCAGCCUUGACGGCCAUGCCCUGGCACUGUUACCCAUGGGUCCUCCUCCAGGCCCUGUGACGGACACACCCUGGCAUUGUCACCCGUGGGUCCUCCCCCCAUCCCCGUGAAGGCCACAGCCCGGCACUGUGUUUACCUGUGGGUCCCAGACCUGCACCUGCAGGAGAGAUUUUCUUCCUCUCUCUCACACUGAGGCCUCUGAUGGAGGAGGUCGAUGUCUGUGCCUUCAUUCUCCUGAGCCCCUGCCAUCUGACACCGUCGUCAUCUCUGCCUGGGCCUGGGUGACAAGCAAGACUCCAUAUCAAAAAUAAGAAAAGAAUUGAGGAGAAAUGUGAAUGAACAAAGUGGUCGAGAGAUGGGGGUGUGGAGAGGAGGCCCUGCCGCAGGACCCUGGACAUGUAGCCUGAAGGAUCUCCAAUGAUGGGGUGCUCGCUGGGAAUCGGGAUGUCCGGCAAGGACCACAGCUGACAUGCACGAGUCUGAUGGCCGGGUCUCGUGUCACUGGGUGAAUGCUGCAGAAUCAAGGCAGGGGCGUUGCUUGCUGUCCUGGAAGCUGAUUCGUCAGAGACUUUGUCUUUUCUUGAUUCUUCACUCCCAGUUCCCACGGCUCAACAUGUGUUUGCCUCCAUUCUUCUUUUGGAAGACCAGACUUCCCAGGGGUCUUGAUUCCUCAUUCUACGUGCUCAUAGUCAAGGACCUGCAGGUGCAUGAUGACACACACUUGUACCCUGAGCCUCUACAUCCAGGGCAACUCGCUCUGAGAGCACAGUACCUCCUUAGCCCACGUGCCUUCCACAGCCGGUGUGGCCUGCUGGGAUUCUUCAGGCAGGAGCACAGGUGCCUUCUGGAGAAGGCGCAAAAUGAGCAGGUGCUGACAUGAUCUCACAGGUUUACAAAGUUCUGGUUAAAUAAAUAGAUCUUCG
rnacentral:lncRNA from 1 species